AACGAAAAUAUUUUCGCGAAAUUUUAAUUGGACAGUGUUCUUUAUUGCUAUCUUGUAAGUGCACCUUUCCUUGGCCAAACAGGGUCCAACGUUUAUAACAUGUAUUUGUGAAGCACACGUUUUUAAUUUUUAAUUUUGCAUUUCACUUCUUCCAGACUGUCUAAUCCUAUGCAGAGACCAGUUACGAGUUAGAUGCUGAUUAGAAGUUGAUUCAAGAGCCAGUACUGGAACAGGAUUGAAGAAAACAAUAUCUCUGGUCUUCAACAGAAACAGUCCUGCCGUUAAGAUGUAAGCCUACAGCCCGGGGAUUGUAACCAGUGCAGCUGACGAAACACCAACAACAAACA